rnacentral:rRNA from 1 species
UACGUAGGGGGCAAGCGUUGUCCGGAUUUAUUGGGCGUAAAGCGCUCGCAGGCGGCUCGAUGCGUCGUGCGUGAAACACCCCGGCUCAACUGGGGAGGGUCGUGCGAUACGGUCGAGCUUGAGGCCAGUAGGGGCAGGCGGAAUUCCGGGUGUAGCGGUGGAAUGCGUAGAGAUCCGGAAGAACACCAGUGGCGAAGGCGGCCUGCUGGGCAGUAGCUGACACUGAGGCGCGACAGCGUGGGGAGCAAACAGG